AGCCAGAAAACACCGGUUCUCGUUCGAUCACCGAACGUUAAGCAUCGUUCGAUCACCGAGCCAGGUCAGUACUUAGAUGGGGACCGCUUGGGAACACCUGGUACUGUAAG